UUCUGCUUCGGCUACUGCAAUUCAGUCGGAGUUAUAUAUAGUAGAAGUAAACCCUAUAUAGGGUUUUAGUAGCAUAUAAUCACCGUCACACCCCCUGCCCCCCUCCGUGCCGGGGGGCAAAGGACUAUAGGUGAGUUGUCGGACUUGCAGGUUUGAAGGAAGGAGGAUGAUUUUGACGGCAUAGAUGGUCCAUUGAUUUGUGGCCUUUAUUCUAUAUGUACUGAUAAAUUUGGACUCCGGCGGUGUUCUGUUAUCUGGUCACAUCCUGCCUUCUCCCCAUGGCUUCAAUUGAAGGAAUUCUCUGCUUGUAUGACAGGAUGUACUUUUUCAUAGUCCCUUCCUAUCUCUGUUAGUGGUGAUUAUAUUUAGAAAUUUUGUAAGCAAUAAUCGAAUGCAUUUUGAGAGUCGAGUACUCAAUUCAGAAACAUUUUGAUAUAAAUUCAGUCAAUCUUCUUUCUUCUGAUC